UGGGCGAAAGCCUGAUGCAGCGACGCCGCGUGAGGGAUGACGGCCUUCGGGUUGUAAACCUCUUUCAGCAGGGAAGAAGCGAAAGUGACGGUACCUGCAGAAGAAGCGCCGGCUAACUACGUGCCAGCAGCCGCGGUAAUACGUAGGGCGCAAGCGUUGUCCGGAAUUAUUGGGCGUAAAGAGCUCGUAGGCGGCUUGUCACGUCGGUUGUGAAAGCCCGGGGCUUAACCCCGGGUCUGCAGUCGAUACGGGCAGGCUAGAGUUCGGUAGGGGAGAUCGGAAUUCCUGGUGUAGCGGUGAAAUGCGCAGAUAUCAGGAGGAACACCGGUGGCGAAGGCGGAUCUCUGGGCCGAUACUGACGCUGAGGAGCGAAAGCGUGGGGAGCGAACAGGAUUAGAUACCCUGGUAGUCCACGCCGUAAACGGUGGGCACUAGGUGUGGGCAACAUUCCACGUUGUCCGUGCCGCAGCUAACGCAUUAAGUGCCCCGCCUGG
rnacentral:rRNA from 1 species